UCCACGCAGUAAACGUUGUACACUAGGUGUAGCGGGUAUUGACCUCUGCUGUGCCGGAGCUAACGCAUUAAGUGUACCGCCUGGGGAGUACGGUCGCAAGACUAAAACUCAAAGGAAUUGACGGGGGCCCGCACAAGCGGUGGAGCAUGUGGUUUAAUUCGAUGCAACGCGAAGAACCUUACCUGGGCUUGACAUGCCGGGAAUCCUUGGAACAUUGGAGUGCCCUCAGUUCG
rnacentral:rRNA from 1 species